GACGAACGCUGGCGGCGUGCUUAACACAUGCAAGUCGAACGAAGAGCGAUGGAAGCUUGCUUCUAUCAAUUUUAGUGGCGAACGGGUGAGUAACGCGUAAUCAACCUGCCCUUCAGAGGGGGACAACAGUUGGAAACGACUGCUAAUACCGCAUACGAUCUGACCUCGGCAUCGAGGAUAGAUGAAAGGUGGCCUCUAUUUAUAAGCUAUCACUGAAGGAGGGGAUUGCGUCUGAUAAGCUAGUUGGAGGGGUAACGGCCCACCAAGGCGAUGAUCAGUAGCCGGUCUGAGAGGAUGAACGGCCACAUUGGGAGUGAGACACGGCCCAGACUCCUACGGGAGGCAGCAGUGGGGAAUCUUCCGCAAUGGACGAAAGUCUGACGGAGCAACGCCGCGUGAGUGAUGACGGCCUUCGGGUUGUAAAGCUUUGUUAAU
rnacentral:rRNA from 1 species